rnacentral:lncRNA from 1 species
UCCGGCAUGCCGUAAAGCCUCGCCGGGCGUACACGAGGAGUAGGUGGUAAGAGGACGGUGAGCUAGGUGGUUCGCAGACGACGCUGACGGGACUUUUGUCGUCGUUGUUGUAGUAGUCGUCUGCGGUGAGGACGGUGCAAGCGAAGGGGCUGACGAUCUCCUUGCCUCCGAGGGGCGGCAGGACGGUCACCUCGCCGGUCAUGGGGUUGCAGACGCAGAGCUUCAGGGCCCGCUCGCGCUUCCGGCGCUGGAGCUCGACGACGAGGAGGCCGUUCCGGGAGGCGACGAGUCGGGACGCGUCG